GGUGGCUCAGUGGUAGAGCUCUUGCCUUCCAUUCAUGAGGCCCUGGGUUCAAUUCCUCAGCACCA
rfam:Dipodomys ordii contig_32077, whole genome shotgun sequence.